rnacentral:rRNA from 1 species
AAUGAACGUUGGCGGCGUGGAUUAGGCAUGCAAGUCGUACGGGCCGCAAGGCCAGUGGCGUAAGGGUGAGUAAGGCGGAGGUAACCAACCCCAUGGCCGGGUAUAGCCGCGGGAAACUGCGGGUAAUCCCCGGCGACGUCCGGAGAGGGCAUCCUUUCCGGACCAAAGCUCCGGCGCCGUGGGACGGGCCUCCGUGGUAUUAGCUCGUUGGCGGGGUAACGGCCCACCAAGGCUAUGAUGCCUACCGGGCGUGCGAGCGNGGCCCGGCACACUGGGACUGAGACACUGCCCAGACUCCUACGGGAGGCUGCAGUCGAGAAUCUUCGGCAAUGGGCGCAAGCCUGACCGAGCGACGCCGCGUGGAGGACGAAGGCC